AGAUUCAUUUUCACCACACUUGUACAUGGAUCCCUUAAGUAAGUGACAGAUUACUAGUUCUACAAACGAUAAUGCAAAGUCGAUAUUUUAUCGAUAAAAUGAUUUUUCUCUACUUCUUAAGAAAUAAACGUCUAUCGAGUAUAUAUUACUAAAGCCUGUGAGUUUUUUUUCUUGUGAUGUUAUUUUAAUUUAACUUAAACUACAUUACGCUAUGUUUUAUGCAAUAAAACAGUAAAGAGGUUUUCUACAGGUGAAUUUUUACCUAUGUCAUUCGCGCGUUUGUCAAAUUGACUGAUGUGUAUGUGUACAUAGAGUGAGGUUAAUUUUGGGUUUAUUAUUGUUGAAUAGAUAAGUUUAUUUUGGCAGAGAAGAGAAAACGAGGAUAAACCUUUCUUGCAGAAGAAAAAGACAAACUAGUGAAAUUGCUGACGUCUCAUAGAGACACAAUAUUAAACAAAAAACGGAUGGGACCACGAACGAAGCCAAAAACAAAGCUUGGAUCCAGUUACAAAUAGUUUUAAUGCGAUAGGAACCGUUUACAGUUUCAGGUGGUGCGAGAAAUUGGGAAGACGUGUAAAAACAUGCUGCGACCAGCCCACCCCAAAUUGAAUUGGUGCAGGAGGAUGAUGAUAAUGUUUGGUACAUCAUAUGAGGACUAAUAUUAAAAUAUUUGUUUACUAUCUUUGUUUUAA